GCGGGAAUAGCUCAGUUGGUAGAGCACAACCUUGCCAAGGUUGGGGUCGAGGGGUCGAAUCCCUUCGCCCGCUCCA
rnacentral:tRNA from 1 species